rnacentral:rRNA from 1 species
UACAGAGAGUGCAAACGUUGUUCGGAAUUACUGGGCUUAAAGAGCACGUAGGCUGCAUCGUAAGUGUCUGGUGAAAUCCCACGGCUUACCCGUGGAACUGCCGGGCAUACUGCGGUGCUAGAGUGUGGUAGGGGAGAGCGGAACUCCAGGUGGAGCGGUGAAAUGCGUAGAUAUCUGGAGGAACACCGGUGGCGAAGGCGGCUCUCUGGUCCACAACUGACGCUGAGGUGCGAAAGCUAGGGGAGCAAACGGGAUUAGAUACCCCGGUAGUCCUAGCCGUAAACGAUGGGCACUAGCUUGGGGUCUCCCUGUGUGAUCCCAGGUGUAGCAAAAGUGAUAAGUGCCCCGCCUGGGGAGUAUGGUCGCAAGGCUGAA